CUCAGUCAUAUCAAAGACAGUCAUAGCUACAGCAGCGUGAUUGAAAAUUCACAGACUGUCUUUCUGUUUGGUUGCAGGUGUCCACACUGAAAACUGAAUGACCACUGGCAACAGAAGGAGGAGCUCAUGUGUCCACACUGAAAACUGAAUGACCACUGGCAACAGAAGGAGGAGCUCAUGUAUGGACAAAGGAGACUGCAUGUACUUCCUUAGUUCUGAAAUGGGCUGUGGUGGUGUUGGUGGUGAUGAUGAUGAUGAUGAUGAUGAUGCCAAGAAAACCAAUUCCAGUUCAUCUUCCUCUUGUGAGAGGACAAACCAGCCGUUUAGACAUUUAUUUUGUGUGUUAUUCUCUGUCCUCAGUGUUCACAGGUUCAGUUUCUUGCCUCUUACUUCAUUUCUACUGUUGUUGAUAGAUGAUAGUAAUACAAAUUUUAAGAACAGAAGCUAUAAUUAUUAAUUUGGAAUUAAGUGGUGGAUCAACUCUAGCACACUCACCACCUUGACAGGUGAAAGUAUUUACCAGUUUAACAUCAAAACGUUGUUGAGUAUCUAACAGCUAGAACUGACUGACCAGAAGUGCAACCUGGAGCAAAACCAGACUCUUCAUAGAUGUGAUGCUGUUUCCUCAUAGGUGUAUGUAUUAGCUUUACACACUGUUUAGUGUUAACUGAAAAUUGACAGUUAAGAUUUUGAAGCGGUUGUCAGUGUUGUACAGCUCAUGUACAUUAGUUUUAUUCAUAACUUAUUAUUGUCAUUGAUCAGGUUUUCAAUAAAUAAACCUACUGUGAUUAACUUG